rnacentral:rRNA from 1 species
UACGUAGGGUGCAAGCGUUGUCCGGAAUUAUUGGGCGUAAAGAGCUCGUAGGCGGUUUGUCGCGUCUGCUGUGAAAAUCCAGGGCUUAACCCUGGACCUGCAGUGGGUACGGGCAGACUGGAGUGCGGUAGGGGGAGAUCGGAAUUCCUGGUGUAGCGGUGAAAUGCGCAGAUAUCAGGAGGAACACCGGUGGCGAAGGCGGAUCUCUGGGCCGUAACUGACGCUGAGGAGCGAAAGCGUGGGGAGCAAACAGG